GGAAGGAUGCUUCGAUGCCAUAUUUGGAGGCAAUGACGUCACGGCGACGCAACGAAGGGUGUCCGAAUUCAAAGAGUACUCAAAAUGUGGCGACAAAUGUGUCCUACUUUGCCCUGAAUUCUAAGGAUGGUCCGAUGUAUCCUUCAUGUCCUACUAUAUCCCAGGAUUCAUUGCGGGUCAUAGAGGAGAUUUGUUUCUGAUAACGAUGGUGGUCGAAGCAGGAGAGGAAAACACUUUCAAAUGACAAUUCUGGAGAGGAUGGGCCUGCAGGGGAAAGUCACCCCCUUGCAGGCCAGAAGACAUGAGAUAACUUUAAAGAAUACAAAGAUUGCAAGUAUCCAGGCUCAGGAGAGGGGGUCAGUGGGAAGCCCACUGCUGCUACUUGGCCCUGGUUUGCCCUCAUGGAUGAGGUGAUAGGACAGAUGCCUUCCAUUAAGCCUCCUGUCCUAAUUUCCUCUCUCCCUGAGGACACUCCAGGGCCAAGCACAGCAGUGGGUGACCAAAACGACAGCGAUGACAAAGCGGCUCAGCCACCUACGACAGGGAGAAAGAGGAAAAGAGACGGGGAUGAUGAGCUGCUAGACCUCAUCAGAGAGGACAUGAGGCAGCAAAGGGAGGCUGAGGAGAGGAGAGCAGGGAGAGGACGGACAGACUGUUUUCACUUCUAGAAAGAUUAGUUCCCAAAUGAGUUAUGUAUUGAGAAAUUUAUUUAUUUGAAUAUAUUUGUUACAUUGUUAUAUGUGUUGCAUUAGUUUAAAGGUUUUAUGUUAUUAAUAAAUUGAUUCAAACAAACAGUAAUUGUCACUGAACUCAAUUUGAUUUACAGGCAUUUGUAACACGUAUGAACAUAACGCUAACUUUGAACAAUAUUACUUGGAUAUUUAUUUGAUAGCAAUAAAGUAAAUAACAAUAACAAUUAAACAAGAAUAUUUCAAAUACACAGUAUGUAAAGAUGAAAAACAACAUUUACAGUUGUUCACACAGGAUUAACCUGAGUGACCUGUUCCUGGACCGUUUCUUUAACAACUG
ensembl:lncRNA